rnacentral:lncRNA from 1 species
AGGAAAAAGAUGAAGGGAGAUGAAGAUGGGGGAGAAGAGAGAGGGCGCAGGGGGGAAGUUUUGUUUGGUUUUUUAAUAAUUUUUUCAUAGAAAAUGGGUCCCGAAUCAAGCCACAUCAACAAUUAACUGAGAAAUUAACAGAAAAACUGACGGAGGUAUGACAUUGGCACAAAUUCGUAAGAUGAGGUAUGAAAUUGUCAAUUUUAAAAGAUGAGGUAUAAAAGUGUCGUGACACCAAUAGUUGAGGUAAUUUUUUGUACUUUACCCUAAUUUUUUUUAAAAUAUAACUUGCGUGACAUCACAGUUGGGUUGUUGCGCAAACACACUUUGCGAGACGCACCACCAAUGUGUUACACAAUGACUGUUUGUGUGACACACCAACCAAUGUGUCACGCAAAUGUUGUUUGCGCGAUGGCCCAACCAAUGCGUCACGCAAAGGUUGUUUACGCAACGAACAAACGCAAAGGGUUUUUGUGGUCCACUUGUAUAAAUAUUUUAAAUUGAAGAUCGAAUUAGUUCAUUGUAUUCAUAUAGGAUCAAGGAUUGUAGCUAUAAAAAAUCAUCAAAAUCGGAGUUAAAACUACCUUUAAAGUUUUGUCCCGUUACAUGAUUUCUGAACAUUUAUUUGUUGCAAUUUUUGGCGUAUGUGAUCUCGAAGCAUAUACAAACAAGUUUGAUGGUUGAACCAUUGAAGCUAAUUUCGUAGAGUGUGUAUCCCAUCAAAACGGUAGAUUCACUAACACUGAGUUUCGUUUAUACUUUCAUUAUGUAUAACAUAAGAUUUUGUGGUAUCCACUUGUGUAAAUAUUUUAAAUUGACAAUCGAAUUAGUUCAUUGUAUGCAUAUAUAGUCAAGGAGUGUAGCUGUAAAAAAUCAUCAAAAUCAGAGUUAAAAUAACUGUUAAAUCGUGAAUAUUCGUUGAUUACUGUCGAAACGUUUGGUCCCAUUACUUGAUCUUUGAAUCCUUGUUUUUUGUGAUUGUAUGUGAUCUCAAAGUAUAGGCAAAUAAGUUUGAAGGUUGGAUCGUUAAAAUUAGUUUUGUAGGAUCCCAUCAAAACGAUAGAUUCACUAACACUUAGAGUUUAUUUACUUUUCAUUAAGUACAACAUAAGAUUUUGUGGUAUCCACUUGUGUAUUGUGUAAAUAUUUUAAAUUGAAGAUCGAAUUCAUUCAUUGUAUUCAUAUAGGAUCAAAGAGUGUAGUUGUAAAAAAUUAUCAAAAUCGGAGUUAAAACUAUCGUUAAAUCGUGAAUUUUCGUUUAAAACCGUCAAGUUCAAUGAUAUAUAUGUUUAUUAAGUAGCUUUAAAUUUAUUUAUUUUGUUAUAACACUUAAGAAAUUGAUUGGUAUAUAUAUUUAUUAAGUGGCUUUAAAUUUAUUAUUGUUGUUCGAUCAGGUUUUUUUAGAAAAAUAUAUUAUUGUGUUUUAUCUAAAAAAAAUGAAUUUGAAAGGAGUAAAGUCACAUUUUUAGUAAAUUUUAUAAUA